GAUGAACGCUGGCGGCGUGCUUAACACAUGCAAGUCGAACGGAAAGGCCCUGCUUGCAGGGUACUCGAGUGGCGAACGGGUGAGUAACACGUGGGUGAUCUGCCCUGUACUUUGGGAUAAGCCUGGGAAACUGGGUCUAAUACCGAAUAUGACAAUUGUUUGGCUGCGAUUGUGGAAAGCUUUUGCGGUAUGGGAUGAGCUCGCGGCCUAUCAGCUUGUUGGUGGGGUAAUGGCCUACCAAGGCGCCGACGGGUAGCCGGCCUGCGAGGGUGUACGGACACAUUGGGACUGAGAUACGGCCCAGACUCCGACGGGAGGCAGCAGUGGGGAAUAUUGCACCAUGCGCGCAAGCCUGAUGCAGCGACGCCGCGUGGGGGAUGACGGCCUUCGGGUUGUAAACUCCUUUCGCAACCGACGAAGCCUUUUGGUGACGGUAGGUUGAGAAGAAGCACCGGCUAACUACGUG
rnacentral:rRNA from 1 species